AGAGUUUGAUCCUGGNNCAGGACGAACGCUGGCGGCGCGCUUAAUGCAUGCAAGUCGAACGGAGAAGCCCCUUCGGGGGUGGAUCAGUGGCGAACGGCUGAGUAACGCGUAAGCAACUUACCCCUAGGUGGGGAAUAACCCCGCGAAAGCGGGGCUAAUACCGCAUAUGUUGUUGUGUCAUAAGGCAUUCUAACAAAGGCUCCUCUUUCGGGAGGCGUCGCCUGGGGAUGGGCUUGCGUCCUAUCAGGUAGUUGGUGGGGUAACGGCCUACCAAGCCGAAGACGGGUAGCUGGUCUGAGAGGACGAUCAGCCAGAGGGGGACUGCGACACGGCCCCCACUCCUACGGGAGGCAGCAGCAGGGAAUCUUGCGCAAUGGGCGAAAGCCUGACGCAGCGACGCCGCGUGGGGGAAGAAGGCCUUCGGGUUGUAAACUCCUUUUCUGGGGGAAGAGAGAGGACGGUACCCCAGGAAUAAGCCUCGGCUAACUACGUGCCAGCAGCCGCGGUAAUACGUAGGAGGCGAGCGUUGUCCGGAUUUACUGGGCGUAAAGGGCGUGUAGGCGGUACGGAAAGUCUUUGUUGAAAUCUCCCGGCUCAACUGGGAGGGAUGCAGAGAUACUUUCGAACUAGAGGUCAGUAGAGGAGAGUGGAAUUCCCGGUGUAGUGGUGAAAUGCGUAGAUAUCGGGAGGAACACCAGUGGCGAAAGCGGCUCUCUGGGCUGUACCUGACGCUGAGGCGCGAAAGCGUGGGGAGCA
rnacentral:rRNA from 1 species